rnacentral:lncRNA from 1 species
CCUAACUUCAUAUAUACUGGAAUAUUUAACAAGGUGAAUACCCUAACUUCAUAUAUACUGGAAUAUUUAAUAAGGUGAAUACCCUAAUUUCAUAUAUACUGGAAUCUCCUGAUUAAAAACAAUGAGUAGAAAAAUAAUAGCGGAAGCAUACCUGAAUCCAUUGAAGGAGAAACCUUAUAGGAAGAAAACCCUUUGAGAUGGUCUUCCAAUUCUAGCCACUAGAUUCUGUGUCAAUUUCUCUCUGAGAGGAUUUUCAUAAAUUGGAAUGCGUAGUCAUAGAAUGGGGACCAUAACCCUAUUUAUAAACCGCUAGGGCAGUUUUAAUUUUAUCACAAUUAUAUUUCUGCCCCUCAUAGAAAUAAUAAUUGUCUAAUGGUAUCUACACAAUAAUCUCAUGACAAUUAUACCCUUAAGCAAAUUAAUCAAUUAUUAAUUAGAUCACUAUAUUUAGGCUUAAUUAAAUGAUAGCACACACAUUUUAAUUAUUUACAUGUGUGGCCCAAAUUAUAGAUUAAUUACAAAAAUUAAUCUAACAAUCUCCCAUUGGGCCACAUGCAUAUGUAAUCAAAUAAAUGUGCUUAACCUUAUGAGCUCAAAAUUUGCUAUCAUGUCCUUAGGGUAUAUCCGAACAAUCUCGUCCAUUAACUAUACUGACAUAGGAUCAAGGUGGCCUUUGUUACAUCAAUCGUUACUAGACCAAUCAAUGGUCACAUAUAUCUGCACAGCUAAAUGACAUCGAUCAAUCAUGAGUGCAUAGCAUGGAAAUUACAUGCAAUGUGAUCUAUUCAUGCCUAUUUCCAACUGGUCCUACUUAACUUUAUUGAGAUCAAAUCUUUAGCAUAAUUUAACAGAGUCCAAUGAAAUGAAUACUUUAUUUCUGCAGAACACAAUCCAAAUGUAUAGAUAAAGUCUAAACAUAACAUAGAGCAAUAUACAAUGAAUAAUAUAAACUCCCACUAAAUUUGGAUAUCCUCAAAUGAGACAACACCCAUAUGAGCAGUGUGCUCAUGAAAGACCUUGGGUGGUAAUCCCUUUGUAAGCAGAUCCGCUAUCAUGGAGUUUGUUCCAAUAUGCUCUAUGGAUAUCGGUCCACUCUGUUCUUUUUCUUUUACAACUAGGAACUUGAUAUCAAUGUAUUUUGAUUUUGUAGAACUCCUGUUGUUAUUGGAAUAUAAAACUGCUGAUUUAUUGUCACAAAAUAUCUUCAGUGGUCUUUCAAUACCAUCCAGAACACGCAGCCCAGUGACAAAAUUCCGUAGCCAUAUUCCUUGAUUGGAUGCCUCAUAACAUGCUACAAACUCUGCUUCCAUGGUGGAUGAAGUUAUGAGUGUCUGCUUGGCAGACCUCCAUGAAAUUGCUCCACCAGCCAACAGAUAAAUAUAGCCUGAUGUGGAUCUUCUGCUGUCUUGGCAUCCAGCAAAGUCGGAGUCGGAAUACCCAAUGAUCUCUAACUGAUCCAAUCUCCUAUAUGUAAGCAUGUACUCUUUUGUUCUCUGUAAAUAUCUCAUAACCCUCUUGGCUGCUCUCCAAUGAUCCAUUCCAGGGUUACUUAGAUAUCUGCCUAACAUGCCAAUAAUGUACGCAAUAUCCGGACGUGUACAUACCUGAGCAUACAUUAGACUCCCCACAGCCGAAGCGUAAGGAAUCUUCUGCAUUUCUUGACUUUCUAAACUAUUUUUAGGGCAUUGAUUAAGACUGAAUUUGUCUCCUUUAGCGACAGGGGUAUCACCUGGUUUGCUAUUUUGCAUGCCAUACCUUUGGAGGACUUUAUCAAUAUAGGUCCUUUGUGACAAUCCUAAAAUACCCCUAGAACGAUCUCGGUGUAUCUGGAUUCCUAAGACAAAGGAGGCAUCACCAAGAUCUUUCAUCUCAAAAUGUUUUGAUAAAAAUCUCUUGGUGUCGUGCAAUAUGCUAAUAUCAUUUGUGGCUAGCAAUAUGUCAUCGACAUAUAAAACCAGGAAAAUAUACUUACUCCCACUGAAUUUGUGAUACACACAUUCAUCCAUAAGAUUUGCCUCAAAACCAUAUGAGACAAUAAUUUGAUGAAACUUGAAGUACCACUGACGAGAAGCUUGCUUGAGCCCAUAAAUGGAUUUAGUUAAUUUACGAACCAUAUUCUUUGAGUCUUCGGAUACAAAAUUUUCUGGUUGUACCAUAUAAAUUGUUUCAUCAAUGUCACCAUUGAGAAACGCUGUUUUAACAUCCAUUUGAUGUAACUCAAGAUCAUAAUGUGCAACUAGUGCCAUGAUUAUCCUGAAAAAGUCCUUCGUAGAAACUGGAGAGAAGGUCUCUUUGAAGUCAAUUCCUUCUUUUUGAGUAAAGCCUUUAGCUACAAGACGUGCUUUAUAUCUUUCUACAUUACCAUUUGAAUCACGCUUGGUUUUAAAUAUCCAUUUACAACCAAUGGGCUUCGUACCAACUGGUAAUGGGACGAGUUCCCAAACUUUAUUGUCUUGCAUAGAUUUGUACUCUUCAUUCAUGGCUUCAAUCCAUUUCUGAGAGUUGGAACUUUUCAUGGCUUGCUGGAAGUUGAUUGGAUCAUCUUCCAUCAUUCCACUUUCUACCUCACGUUCCUGGAGAUAUACGAUAUAAUCGUCCGAAAUUGCAUUUCUCCUCUCUCUAGUGGAUCUCCUUAAUGGCAUAUUUUCUUGAGGUUGUUGAGUUUGUUCUUCAGGAGCAAUGUCCCCAUUUGCAAUUAAGGGUUGAACAAUAUUGUCUGUUGGUUGAGGAUCCAAAUUUACUUCUUGAUCAAUGAUAGGUAGUGAAACCUGUACAUUAUCAAAAGCAAUAGUAGAUCCCUCUUCCUCCUUAAAGACAAUAUUCCUAGCCUGAUUUCUCCCCCCAAACUCAACAUCCUCAAAAAAUGUUGCAGUUCCCGUCUCAAAAAUUGACCUAAUAGCAGGAUCAUAAAAUUUAAAACCCCUUGAUUGCUCUGCAUAGCCAAUAAAGUAGAUGCUAACUGUUUUAGAGUCCAAUUUCUUUUCAUGAGGCUUAUAAGUCUCGCUUCAGCUGGACAUCCCCAAAUAUGAAAAUGCUUUAAACUGGGCUUUCGACCAGUCCAAAGCUCAUAAGGCGUUUUAGCAGCCGCUUUAGUUGGCACCCGAUUUAGGAUAUAAGCUGCCGUUUUGAGUGCUUCACCCUAGAGUUUUUCGGGUAAAGUAGAAUGACUAAUCAUACUCCUUACCAUGUCCUUAAGAGUUCGAUUUCGUCUUUCUGCUACACCAUUCAUGCUAGGUGAUCCUGGCAUGGUGUAUUGAGGGACGAUCCCACAUUCCUCUAGGUAUUUAGCAAAUGGUCCUGUACGUUGUUCACCUGAUCCGUCAUAUCUACCAUAGUAUUCACCACCACGGUCAGAUCUGACGCUCUUUAUUCUUUUGUUGAGUUGUAACUCAACUUCUGCUUUAAAUGUUUUGAACACGUCCAAUGAUUGUGAUUUCUCAUGUAUAAGAAAUAGGUAGCCAUAUCUUGAAUAGUCAUCUAUGAAUGUUAUAAAGUACUAUUGACCAUUCCAAGAUGCCGUAGGGUAUGGUCCACAGAUAUCUGUAUGAAUUAAUUCUAAGACAUCUGUAGCUCUAUUGGCACCUAAUUUCUUUGUUUUGGUAUGUUUUCCUUUAAUACACUCAACACAAAUAUCAAAAUCUGAAAAGUCAAGUGAAUCCAAAAUCCCAUCGGACACAAGUCGCUCAACUCUAGAUUUAGAGAUAUGACCUAGGCGUUUGUGCCACAAUGAGGCCGAAUUAUCUUUAUUCAAUUUACGUUUUGUACCUCGUGAUUCCACAUGCAAGGUUUCAUUAUAGGACGGAACAGUUUCCAACAAAUAUAGAUUAUCAUAAACAUUAAGUAAACCGGUUCCUACAGCAUUUGAAUUAAUAGAUAAUGCAAAUCUAUUGUUUCCAAAUGAACAACAAUAACCUGAUUUGUCCAAAACAGAAACUGAAAUUAAAUUCCGUCUGAAAGACGGUACAACAAAAGUAUCUAUUAAAUCCAAAAUAUAACAAGAUUUAAAUAAUAAUCUAAAGUGCCCUAUUGCCUCUACUUCUACCGACUGACCGUCUCCGACAUAGAUGCAUCUUUCAGCAUCACUUGGUUUUCGGUAACUCAGGCAACCCUGCAUAGAAACACAAAUGUGAGUAGUAGCACCAGAAUCUAACCACCAUGUGUUUCUAGAUACUGAAGCUAAAUUAACUUCAGAACAGACCAAAGUAAGAAACAUACCUUUCUUAACACGCCAAGCAGCAUACUUGGUACAUUCCUUCUUAGUAUGUCCAGGCUUAUUACAGAAGAAACAUGUUACCUCAACUUUCUGUUUCUUUUGUUCUGGACCAUUAGAAACAGCAACCUUAUUAUCCUUAUUCUUUCGUUUGCCCUUAUCCUUGGAAGUACUAGCCAGAUGAGCACUUUCGGUCUUGUCUUGCUUCAAUCUCUCUUCCUCUUGCACACAGAAUGAAAUGAGUUCAUUAAGAGUCCAUUUAUCCUUUUGACAGUUAUAACUGACCUUGAAUUGAUUAAAUUGUGCAGGAAGAGAGAUGAGAACCAAAUGCACGAGUAAAUCAUCAGAUAACUCGAGUUUCAAAGCCUUAAGUUUUGAAGCAAGAUGAGACAUCUCCAUGAUGUACUCCCGAACAUUACCCUUGUCUUUAUACUUCAUUGAAAUCAAGCUUGCUAAAAGCGUGCUCGUUUCAGCCUUAUUGUUUUUGGCAAAACGUUUCUGAAUUUCCGCAAGGAAGUCACUGGCAUUAGUAACCUCAUCAGUUACCGCACCCCUGAAAGCUUCUGGAAUGCCGCGCUUCAUGAUCAUAAGACUUAGCCUAUUUGAACGUUCCCACUUACCCCAAUAAACCUCAUCCUCUUGAGUACUUUGCUCAUUGAGUUCAUCGGGUUUGGGCAUUCUCAAGGCUAAGUCUAUAUCCAUGCAACCUAAGAGAAUCAUCAUAUUCUCUUUCCAGUCCUUAAAAUUAGUCCCAUUUAACAUAGGGACAUUAUUGAUGUUGGCAGAUAUAGAAGUAGUUGAUAUAAAAGUUGAAUCGAGAACAAAAUAAAAUGAAUCAAAUAAACCAUCAUGCUCACAUAAAAUAAGCAAUUAAACACAUAAUCUUUAAAUUUAAAAGCAAAUUAUGACAUUUCAAGAUACCUAGCACAACAUUAAUAUCAAGUCUUUGGACAGUAAUAUUAACUGUGAGUGGUACUCUUGUUGUAGUGAUCAAACAUUGAUGAUAAGUUAUGUCAAAUAAUAAAUCUAUCUUUGGAUUGAUUUAUUAUUCACAUUAAGUUACCUUUAUAAUCAUCACAUAUUUAUCACCACAGGUAUGUAUGCAAUUUGACCAAAUAUUAACUUUCCUUUGGGCCAGUCAAUACCCGCAUGAAUCACAUACACACAAAUAUCUAACACCCCGAACAGACUAAUCUACACGAAAGAUGUCACUUUGGUGAUUUUCCGCUUUAAUUAGCCUAUUUAAAAUGCUAGAUCAAUAACUUAAAUAUUAAUAUCAUAAAAUGCUAUUAAAUAAUAAUAAUAAUAAUAAUAAUAAUAAUAAUAAUAAUAAUAAUAAUAAUUGUAAUAAAAAAAAUUUAUCAACUCAAUAUUUCAUAAAUCUUAAUCCAUUGACAUAUAUUAAAAUAAUAACUCAAAGAAUUAAUCAAGGAGUAGGCUCUGAUACCACUUGUUGGAAUCAAUCAACCAAGAUGAAUACCCUAAUUUCAUAUAUACUGGAAUAUUUAACAAGGUGAAUACCCUAACUUCAUAUAUACUGGAAUAUUUAACAAGGUGAAUACCCUAAUUUCAUAUAUACUGGAAUCUCCUGAUUAAAAACAAUGAGUAGAAAAAUAAUAGCGGAAGCAUACCUGAAUCCAUUGAAGGAGAAACCUUAUAGGAAGAAAACCCUUUGAGAUGGUCUUCCAAUUCUAGCCACUAGAUUCUGUGUCAAUUUCUCUCUGAGAGGAUUUUCAGAAAUUGGAAUGCGUA